CAUCCUAUUGCUGAGAAGCUGAUCAAACUUGGUCAUUUAGAGGAAGUAAAAGUCGUAACAAGGUUUCCGUAGGUGAACCUGCGGANNNNNNAGGAUCAUUAUUGAAUAAACCUGAUGUGACUGUUAGCUGGCUUUUCGAAGCAUGUGCUCGUCCAUCAUCUUUAUCUCUCCACCUGUGCACAUUUUGUAGUCUUGCAUACCUCUCGAGGAAACUCGGAUUUGAGGAUCGCCGUGCUGUACAAGUCGGCUUUUCUUUCAUUUCCAAGACUAUGUUUUUAUAUACACCAAAGUAUGUUUAUAGAAUGUCAUCAAUGGGAACUUGUUUCCUAUAAAAUUAUACAACUUUCAGCAACGGAUCUCUUGGCUCUCGCAUCGAUGAAGAACGCAGCGAAAUGCGAUAAGUAAUGUGAAUUGCAGAAUUCAGUGAAUCAUCGAAUCUUUGAACGCACCUUGCGCUCCUUGGUAUUCCGAGGAGCAUGCCUGUUUGAGUGUCAUUAAAUUCUCAACCUUCCAACUUUUAUUAGCUUGGUUAGGCUUGGAUGUGGGGGUUGCGGGCUUCAUCACUGAGGUCGGCUCUCCUUAAAUGCAUUAGUGGAACUUUUGUGGNACCAUCUAUUGGUGUGAUAAUUAUCUACGCCGUGGGUGUGAAGCAGCUUUAUGAAGUUCUGCUUCUAACCGUCCAUUGACUUGGACAAUUUUGACAAUUUGACCUCAAAUCAGGUAGGACUACCCGCUGAACUUAAGCAUAUCAAUAAGCGGAGGAAAAGAAACUAACAAGGAUUCCCCUAGUAACUGCGAGUGAAGCGGGAAAAGCUCAAAUUUAAAAUCUGGCAGUCUUUGGCUGUCCGAGUUGUAAUCUAGAGAAGUAUUAUCCGCGCUGGACCGUGUAC
rnacentral:rRNA from 1 species